CAGGCUUAACGCAUGCAAGUCGAGGGGCAUCAGGAAGAAAGCUUGCUUUCUUUGCUGGCGACCGGCGCACGGGUGAGUAACACGUAUCCAACCUGCCCUUUACUCGGGGAUAGCCUUUCGAAAGAAAGAUUAAUACCCGAUAGCAUAAUGAUUCCGCAUGGUUUCAUUAUUAAAGGAUUCCGGUAAAGGAUGGGGAUGCGUUCCAUUAGGUUGUUGGUGAGGUAACGGCCCACCAAGCCUUCGAUGGAUAGGGGUUCUGAGAGGAAGGUCCCCCACAUUGGAACUGAGACACGGUCCAAACUCCUACGGGAGGCAGCAGUGAGGAAUAUUGGUCAAUGGGCGCUAGCCUGAACCAGCCAAGUAGCGUGAAGGAUGAAGGCUCUAUGGGUCGUAAACUUCUUUUAUAUAAGAAUAAAGUGCAGUAUGUAUACUGUUUUGUAUGUAUUAUAUGAAUAAGGAUCGGCUAACUCCGUGCCAGCAGCCGCGGUAAUACGGAGGAUCCGAGCGUUAUCCGGAUUUAUUGGGUUUAAAGGGAGCGUAGGUGGACUGGUAAGUCAGUUGUGAAAGUUUGCGGCUCAACCGUAAAAUUGCAGUUGAUACUGUCAGUCUUGAGUACAGUAGAGGUGGGCGGAAUUCGUGGUGUAGCGGUGAAAUGCUUAGAUAUCACGAAGAACUCCGAUUGCGAAGGCAGCUCACUGGACUGCAACUGACACUGAUGCUCGAAAGUGUGGGUAUCAAACAGGAUUAGAUACCCUGGUAGUCCACACAGUAAACGAUGAAUACUCGCUGUUUGCGAUAUACAGUAAGCGGCCAAGCGAAAGCUUUAAGUAUUCCACUUGGGGAGUACGCCGGCAACGGUGAAACUCAAAGGAAUUGACGGGGGUUCGCACAAGCGGAGGAACAUGUGGUUUAAUUCGAUGAUACGCGAGGAACCUUACCCGGGCUUAAAUUGCAGUGGAAUGAUGUGGAAACAUGUCAGUGAGCAAUCACCGCUGUGAAGGUGUUGCAUGGUUGUCGUCAGCUCGUGCCGUGAGGUGUCGGCUUAAGUGCCAUAACGAGCGCAACCCUUAUCUUUAGUUACUAACAGGUUAUGCUGAGGACUCUAGAGAGACUGCUGUCGUAAGAUGUGAGGAAGGUGGGGAUGACUUCAAAUCAGCACGGCCCUUACGUCCGGGGCUACACACGUGUUACAAUGGGGGGUACAGAAGGCAGCUAGUGGGUGACCGUAUGCUAAUCCCAAAAUCCUCUCUCAGUUCGGAUCGAAGUCUGCAACCCGACUUCGUGAAGCUGGAUUCGCUAGUAAUCGCGCAUCAGCCUCGGCGCGGUGAAUACGUUCCCGGGCUUUGUACUCUCCUCCCGUCAAGCCUUGGGAGCCGGGGGUACUUGAAGUACGUAACCGCAAGGAUCGUCUUAGGGUAAAACUGG
rnacentral:rRNA from 1 species